rnacentral:lncRNA from 1 species
UUUCAACACUAAACAAAAUAUUGUAGAAUAUUUGGCAGCAGUCUUCCAGUUUUAUAUAUCCUUCUCUUCAGUGCCCAGUCCAAUAGAAUCUGGUCAAAUUUAAAGCUGAUACUUUGUGGAUGUAACAUUUGCACAACACUGGUACUUAAUUACAAGCUAAUUUUUAGAUAUCUCGCUAAGCUAAAACAGGGAUAAUUAAAACAAAAUUGAACUGAGAGGAUUUUUAAACAAGAAUGGGGCUUUGAUCGUUAAAAACCUUUCAAUGAGUAACGACAAUACAGUGUACUUCAUUAGACAAUUCAGUGUAAAUUAGUUAGAAUUAUUGUGAUGCAUUUAAAAAAAAUACACUACACAUGACAUGAGUAACAUGAAAUCAACUCCCUUUACACUAAUAUAGUUCCAUUAUACUAUAUGUAUAGUUCAGUCAUGAAACUCUGGAUGGAGCAGACAUCGCUUAACAUCAGGGGUUCUCAACUCUGGCCCCUGAGGUCCACUUUCCUGCAGAGUUUAGCUCCAACCCUGAUCAAACUCACCUAUCUGUAUCUCAGUUAAUCUGAUCACAUCAUAUAUUGCAUGGCACAAACUGAUUGGCCUCCCCUGAUACUGCAACCAAUAAGAUUGCUUACUCAACAUUUAAAUAAUAUUGUUCAGUGUUCGCUAUAAUGUGAUCCUGAAGUUCACUAUCAUAUUUCUUCUGCAAACUGUCCUCCUCCCCCAGCUCCACCUGUCUAGAUCUACUAUUCUACUAUCAUUUCUACAAUCAUUUUAGUAAUGCGCGUGGCAGUAUUCUCUACAUUGAAGACAUCUUUAAUCCAUCCUACAAAAACACUAUAAAGGGACAAAGUGAUGUCAUAGUGAUGUCACAUCAUGCGCUUCCCCAUUAAAAUUUUCACAGUUUCCUUCUGCAUUUAUGUCAUAUAGUCUAGUGAAGCCAAAGAACUAACAUGAUUAUACUAAUAAUCAUCAAACUGAUAAUUCUGCAGCAUUUUUCAGAAUCCAGUGAUGUUACACAGACACCAGUAUUAUGGGUUCAACAGGGUGAAUUUGCACAAAUGAACUGCAGUCAUACUAUGGGUGCAGGCUAUAACUACAUGUAUUGGUUUCAACAACGAAAGGGAGAAACAAUGAGACUCAUUGCCUCCAUUAUAACAGGCAGCAAUCCAGAUUUUGGUGAAUUUUCUGAUGAUAAAUACUCAGCUGAAAAGACUGUAGCUGAUAAAGGGUCUUUCACAGUGAAGAAGCUGCAGCCCGAUGACAGUGGUGUGUAUUUCUGUGCAGUGAGUGAGCACAGUGACGCAUACCUAUUGUGCUGCUGUACAAAAACCUUAACUUCCUUAAUGACUUGUGGUGCAUAAAAAUAUAUUUUUUAAUCUAAAGUGACAUUUUUUUAACAGACAUUUCUUCUCAUGCAGUCUGUAUUUAUGACAUUUUGUAAUCUAGACAGAGAACUAAUAUGAUAACAAUAAUAUUCUUUAAAUUGACAAUACUGCAACGUAGUAUGUUGCAUGCAAACAGCCUUCAAAUAAUCUUCAAAAAACAUGAAUCAAUCAAUCAAUAAGUAUUGGAACAGUAAAAACAAAAUUGUUCUGUUUGCUGUGGAGUCAAGGAAUCUGUAAAUAUGAUUAAAAGAUGAAUAUGAGACAAAACUACAGAAUGUCACAUUUUAUUAUUGGGUGAUUCAACACAAAGAUGUUUUACCAGCUAAGAAGAUCAGCACUUUUAGAGUUUCAUCUCCCUAUCUGAUGUGAGCAAUUCUAAGUCUUGCAUUCGAUGAUGACACACUCAAACCAGGAUGAAGACGAGGAAGCCAACUCUGAAAGAAAAGCAAGCAAUUUGGAUGCUAAAAGAAAAUAGGAAGUCAAUUAGAACUAUAGGAAAAACAAAGGGCAUGGAGAAAUUAAGAGUUUGGAAACUUCUGGCAACAUCAGCAACCAACGACGACCUGAUCGGCUGAGAAAAACAACAGUAAUUGAGGACAGACAAAUCAAAGCUGUGAAAAUGAACCCUAAAAUACAUGUCUGUAAAAUCACCAACAACCUCCAGAAAGCUGGGGUGAUGCUCUGUCAAACUACAGUCCUCAGGAGAAUUUGACACAGAAUUACAGAAGCUACACAGCAAGAUACAAACCUCUGAUCAGUACCAAAAAAAUAGAAAGGCAAGAUUCUUCACAAAUGUAAGCCAGUAGAGUUUUGGAACUGAGUUGAUGGACCGAUGAGACAAAGAUUAACCUUAAUCUAAGUGACUGGAAAGCAAAAGUGUGGAGAAAAAAAGGAACUGGAAAUGAUCCUAAGCAUACAACCUCAUCUGUAAAGCUUAGUGGGGGUGGCGUCAUGGCAUGGGCAGCAUGGCUGUCUCUAGAACAGGACCUCUUCAUUUUAAUUAUGACUUAAUGUAUGAUGGCAGUAGCAGAAUGAAUUUGGAAGGGUACAAAAUCAUCUUGGCUACCAAUAUUCAAGAAAAUGCCACCAAACUCUUUUAUCAGGGCAAAGAAAUGUAAAGUCUUAGAUUGCCCAAAUCAAUCUCCAGAUUUAAAUCCGAUUGAACAUUAAUUUUACCAGCUGAAGAGGAGACUAAAGACAGAAACUCCCCAAAACAAGCAACAGUUGG